GGAUUGACGGUGGGAGGUGAUUAGGCCAAAUUUCAUUGAUAGAUUCGAAAUCCAAUAAUUUGGCCUAGCAUUCGAUACCGCAAUCCA
rnacentral:ncRNA from 2 species